AGUUUCACUCUAUCAUUUUCCGAGUCGUUACAACCUUCUCCCUUCCCCAACCUCAAAUCCAACUAUUUCUAACAUUUCAAAUGAGAGGUUUAUGUCAUGUUUGCAUCCUUGGAAGGAAAAAACCCACUAACUGUUGAAAUAUAAGUUUCGAGAAUAACAUGGUCCAUGAAAUUUACUACUUUACUGCUAUGUGUUGAACUAUACGUUCUAUGUCGAUCAAACACUUGUUCAAUAAUGAUGACUUAUAGCAAGGUUUUUCGUGAUGUUGGGUUCAUUUCUCAUGUCUAAUGACAUGUUAAGGGACUACUAACGAUGUCUCUAUAAGAGGUUUAUCACUAUGUCUGGGGCGAUUCCAAAUACAAGUAAGAUGUGAAGGGCCAUAUGUUUCUAUGUAGGCUGCACGGGCAUUCCACGUCUGGGUAAGGCGAGAUCAGCAAAAUCUUGCACGCAUCGGACAAGCGACGUCGGCCAACGGCAUAUGGCAUCAGUCAACGCCAACAUGCAUCGGAAGCGGCAUUUGCACAUCGGUCAAGCAACGUCGGCCAAUGGCAGACAGCAUCAGCCAAGGCCUGCAUGCAUCAGACGUGUCAUGUGCGCUUGAGGCAAGAAACGUCGGCCAACAACCGGCGGCAUCAUUCAAGGCUUGCACGCAUCGGAGGUGGAAUGUGCGCAUCGGGAAAGCAACGUCGGGCAACGGCAGGUAGCUUAAUCCAAGGCCUACAUAUAUCGGACGUGGCCUGUGCGCAUCGACAGGGCGACAUUGGCCGUGGCCUGCGCACAUCGGCCAGGCGUCAUCUACGAUGGCCUGCGCGCAUCUACUAGGUGACAUAGGUUGUGGCUUGCCCACAUUGGUUGUGGCUUGCCCACAUCGGUUGUGGCAUAUGCGCAUCGGCCAGGCAACAUAAGCCGUAGCCUGCCUACAUCGGUCGUGGCUUGCACGAAUAAGCCAGGCGAGUUAGGGUGUGGCAUGCGCGCAUCGACCAAUCGACAUAGGUAGUGGACUGCCUGCAGCAUUAGUGGCUUGUGCAUAUUGGUCAGCAAACGUCGGGCGUGCCCUAGCCGCAUCGUCCGUGGCCUGCUCACAUCGGUCAGCCGACGUAGGACGUGGGCUACCCGCAUCAUCCGUGGCCUGCACAUGAUGGUCAACCGACGUCGGUCGUGGCCUACCAACAUCAUCUGUGGCGUGCACACAUCGGUCAGCCAACGUUGGAAGUGGCCUUCCAACAUCAACCGUGUCCUGCACACACCGGUCUGCCGACUUUGGACGUGGCCUGCCUACAACGAUCAGCAGACGUUGGAGGUGGCUUGCCAGCAUCAUCUGUGGCCUGCACACAUCGGUUUGCCAACGUCGAACGUGGCCUGCGAGCGUCGUUUGUGUCCUGCACACACCGUUUUCCCAACGUUAGACGUGGCCUGGCUGCAACGCCCGUGGCGUGCACACAUCGGUUAGCCGACAUUGGAUGUGGCCUGCCCGCAUAGUCUGUGGAUUGCACUCGUUAAACGAGCGACAUCGCAUGUGACGACAUUUGCCUGCUCCAGACGCUGGCCUAUGGGCUCCCCAUUCGACUCGUCUUUAAACACGGACCAAGGAGUCUGACAUGUGUCCAAGUCAACGGGCUAGUAAAUUCGUAAGGCUUAAGGAAUCUGAUUGGUGGGAUCCCCCUAAGGGGUGCACCGCCGACCGACCUUGAUCUUCUGAGAAGGGUUCGAGUGUGAGCAUACAUGUUGGGACCUGAAAGAUGCUGAACUAUGCCUGAGCGAGGUGAAGCCAAAACAUACUCUGGUGGAGGCCCGUAGCGAUACUGACGUGCAAAUCGUUCAUCUGACUUGGAUAUAGGGGCGAAAGACUAAUCGAACCGUCUAGUAGCUAGUUCCCUUCGAAGUCUCCCUCAGAAUAGUUGGAGCUCGCGUGUGAGUUCUAUUGGGUAAAGACAAUGAUUAUAGGAUUCGUGAGCGCAACAGCCUUGACCUAUUCUCAAACUUUAAAUCAGUAGGACGGCGGGACUGCUUUGUCGAGCUGCACCACGAAAUCAGAAGCUCAAAGUGGACCAUUUUUGGUAAGUUGAACUGGCUCUGCGGGAUGAACGGAAAGCUGGCUUAUGGUGCCAAACUGCACUCUAACCAAGAUCCAACAAAGGGUGUUGGUCGAUUAAGACAGCAGGAAGGUGCUCAUGGAAGUCGAAAUCCGCUAAGGAGUGUGUACCAAUUCAGCAGCCAAGUAAACUAACCCCGAAAAUGGAUGGCGCUUGAGCGCGUGACCUACACCCAGCCGUCAGGGAAAGUGCCAGACCCCGAUGAGUUGGAGGGAAUAGCGAUCGCUGUAAAACCUUGGGCAUGAACCUGGGCGGAGCAGCCGUUAAUGCAGAUCUUGGUGGUAGUAGCAAAUAUUCAAAUGAGAACUUUGAAGGGUGAAAAGGGGAAAGGUUCAAUGUGAAUGGCACUAGCACAUGGGUUAGUCGAUCCUAUGGGUCGAGGGAACCCCGACAGAUAAUGCAUUUCGUGCGUACCCCGAAAGGGAACCGGGUUAAGAUUCCGGAAUCGGGACGUGGCGGUUGACGACAACGAUUGGAAGUCGGUGGAAGCCUCGGGAAGAGUUGCCUUUUCUGUUUCACAUCAUGCCCACCAUGGAAUCGGCUCUGCCGGAGGUAGGGUCCAACGGCUGGAAGAGCACCACACGUCACGUGGUGUCCGGUGCUCUCCCGACGAUCCUUGAAAAUCCAGAGGACCGAAUGUUGUCCACGGUUGGUCGUACUCAUAACCGCAUCAGGUCUGCAAGGUGAACAACCUCUAGUUGAUGGAACAAUGUAGGCAAGGGAAGUCGGCAAAAUGGAUCCGUAACUUUGGGAAAAGAAUUGGCUCUGAGGGUUUGGCAUGGGUAUCCCAGUCCCGAACCCACUGGCUGUCGGUGGACUUCUUGAGCAGAUCCCGCAGAAAAAGCGGGUCGCCGUGUGCCGGCCAGGGGACGAACUGGGAACGGUUCCUUCGGGGGGCUUCCCCGGGAGUCAAACAGCUAAUUCAGAACUGGUAUAGGCAAGGGGAAUUCGACUAUUUAAUUUUAACAAAGCGUUGCGAUGGUCCCAACGAAUGUUUACGCAAAGUUAUUUUUGUCCAGUGCUCUAAAUGUCAAAGUGAAGAAAUUCAACCAUGCGGGGGUAAACGGCCGGAGUGACUAUGACUCUCUUAAGGUAGCCAAAUGCCUCAUCAUCUUAUUAGUGAUGGGCAUGAAUGUAUUAACAAGAUUUCCACUGUCCCUGUCUAAUAUACAGCGAAACCACAGCCAAGGGAACAGGCUUGGCAAAAUCAACGGUUAAAGAAGACCAUAUUUAGCUUGAGUCUAGUCCGACUUUAUGAAAUGACUUCAGUGGUGUAGUAUAAGGGGGAGUCGGAAGGCGAAAGUGAAAGUGGGGAACUACCCCUAUUUUUUUACCCAAGGCUCACUUCGCGGGCCGAUCCGAGGGCAGACAUUGUCUGGUGGGGAGUUUAGCUAGGGCGGCACAUCUGUUAAAAGAUAACGCAGGUGUCCUAAGAUGAGCUCAACGAGAAUAGAAAAAUCGUGUGGAUCAGAAGGAUAAAAACUCGUUCGAUUCUGAUUUCCAGUACGAAUACGAAUCGUGAAAGCGUGGCCUAACGAUCUAUUAGAGCUUCGAAAUUCUAAGCUAGAGGUGUCAGAAAAGUUACCACAAGGAUAACUAGCUUGUGGCAGCCAAGUUAUAUAGCGAAGUUUAUUUUUGAUCCUUCGAUGUCGGCACUUCCUAUCAUUGUGAAUCAAAAUUCACCCAAGUGUUGAUUGUUCACCCACCAAUAGGGAAUGUGAGCUGGGUUUAGACCAUCGUGAGAAAGGUUAGUUUUACCCUACUGAUGACAGUGUCGCAAUAGUAAUAUAAUCUAGUAAGAGAGGAACCGUUGAUUCACAUAAUUAGUCAUCGCGCUUGGUUGAAAAGCUAGUGGCGCGAAGCUACCAUGUGUUGGAUUAUGAAUGAACGCCUCAAAGUCAGAAUCCAGGCAAGAAACGACGCAUGCGCCCGCCGUCAGCUUGCCGACCCGCAGUAGGGGCCAUUAGCCCCCAAGGGAACGUUUUGUUGGCUAAGUCACCGCGACGGAAGCGGCGCGGUGACUGCCUUGAAGUACAAUUUCCAUUGAGCGGUGGGUAGAAUCCUUUGCAGAAGACAUAAAUACGUGACGGGGUAUUGUAGGUGGAAGAGUGGCCUUGCUGCCACAAUCCACUGAGAUACAACCCUUCGUCACUCCGAU
rfam:Solanum tuberosum cultivar DM 1-3 516 R44 scf00427_46, whole genome shotgun sequence.